rnacentral:rRNA from 1 species
GAUGAACGCUGGCGGCGUGCUUAACACAUGCAAGUCGAACGGGGUACCCCUGACGGAGGCUUCGGCCAACUGAAGGGACUACCUAGUGGCGGACGGGUGAGUAACGCGUGAGGAACCUGCCUUGGAGUGGGGAAUAACAGUUAGAAAUAGCUGCUAAUACCGCAUGAUGCAGCGUGGUCGCAUGACUGUGCUGCCAAAGAUUUAUCGCUCUGAGAUGGCCUCGCGUCUGAUUAGAGAGUUGGCGGGGUAACGGCCCACCAAGUCGACGAUCAGUAGCCGGACUGAGAGGUUGGCCGGCCACAUUGGGACUGAGACACGGCCCAGACUCCUACGGGAGGCAGCAGUGGGGAAUAUUGGGCAAUGGGCGGAAGCCUGACCCAGCAACGCCGCGUGAAGGAAGAAGGCCCUCGGGUUGUAAACUUCUUUUAACAGGGACGAAACAAAUGACGGUACCUGUUGAAUAAGCCACGGCUAACUACGUGCCAGCAGCCGCAGUAA